rnacentral:lncRNA from 1 species
CCAUAUGCUCCUUCAGAAGAGCUUGCUGGUCUUUGCAAAGUGAAACAGCUGGGGGCACGCCUCGGCUUUCCUUUCCCUCCACCAUGCGUGCGCCCACUCGUCCGUCUGGAGGCUGGUCCUUGAGCCGCGAGGGCAGACAGCAGCGAAACCUGCGCCCCAUGUCCCUGCUACUGCAUCCGUGCCAGGCUGUGCCACCUGCAAUGCUGUAUUUGGAAGACUUUUCGGAGAGAGUACAGCUGCAGCAGUAUCCAGACCCCUUCCUCCCUCUACGCAAGGAGAACUGGGGAAACUGGAACAGAAACAGCCAAGAGUUACGGCAGCAAACAUGAGUACUACGUGUUUUUAUUGUUGCCAAGUGAUCACAACUGCCGUGUGUGCACAGCACAACUCUCGUGGCCCUCAGGUGCCCGAGAGGCAGCAGCACAGCAUAGCAGCAGUCUGUUCCCAGCUUUGCAGUACAUUUCCUCUGGGACACUCGGCAAGAUAUUUAAGCUCUGUGCUACUUAAAGGCUUCAAAACUGUAAAAAGAAAAACUGUUAAUACUGAAACAAGAUGAACAUAUGACUUGAAGUACUUUCUUCAAAG